UGCGAAUGGCUCAUUAAAUCAGUUAUCGUUUAUUUGAUAGUACCUUACUACUUGGAUACCCGUGGUAAUUCUAGAGCUAAUACAUGCAAAAAACCCCGACUUCUGAAGGGGUGUAUUUAUUAGAUAAAAAACCAAUGCCCUUCGGGGCUCUUUGGUGAUUCAUGAUAACUUAACGGAUCGCAUGGCCUUGCGCCGGCGACGGUUCAUUCAAAUUUCUGCCCUAUCAACUUUCGAUGGUAAGGUAUUGGCUUACCAUGGUUUCAACGGGUAACGGAUUUUUAGGGAAAGAUCCCGGAGAGGGAGCCUGAGAAACGGCUACCACAUCCAAGGAAGGCAGCAGGCGCGCAAAUUACCCAAUCCUGAUACAGGGAGGUAGUGACAAUAAAUACUGAUACAGGGCUCUUUUGGGUCUUGUAAUCGGAAUGAGUACAAUUUAAAUACCUUAACGAGGAACAAUUGGAGGGCAAGUCUGGUGCCAGCAGCCGCGGUAAUUCCAGCUCCAAUAGCGUAUAUUAAAGUUGUUGCAGUUAAAAAGCUCGUAGUUGAACCUUGGGCCUGGCUGGCCGGUCCGCCUCACCGCGUGUACUGGUCCGGCCGGGCCUUUCCUUCUGGAGAACCGCAUGCCCUUCACUGGGUGUGCCGGGGAACCAGGACUUUUACUUUGAGAAAAUUAGAGUGUUCAAAGCAGGCCUUUGCUCGAAUACGUUAGCAUGGAAUAAUAGAAUAGGACGUGCGGUCCUAUUUUGUUGGUUUCUAGAACCGCCGUAAUGAUUAAUAGGGAUAGUCGGGGGCGUCAGUAUUCAAUUGUCAGAGGUGAAAUUCUUGGAUCUAUUGAAGACUAACUACUGCGAAAGCAUUCGCCAAGGAUGUUUUCAUUAAUCAGUGAACGAAAGUUAGGGGAUCGAAGACGAUCAGAUACCGUCGUAGUCUUAACCGUAAACUAUGCCGACUAGGGAUCGGGCGAUGUUUCUUUCUUGACUCGCU
rnacentral:rRNA from 1 species